rnacentral:piRNA from 1 species
CCGGCCAAUGCAAAGAGAACUUUU